CCAUCCUCCACAACAUCUGCCUUGGGGCUGGUGACAUUGUGGCCCCAGAGGAUGAGCCUGAGGAGGAUGUGGCAGAGGAUGAGGGAACAGUUUGGAGACGGUCAAUGGUGCUCCCCGGCGUGACCAGCUGUCUGCAGAGGUGUCUGCCCUGGAGGAGGUGCUCCCUGACCACCAAUAUUUUUAACAGGCAAGUAAAAGUGACAUGGCAGCUGUCGAUUGAACCAGCUCUGCAAACCCAUUGAUGGACGAUGAGGUGGACAGUGGAGAGAUGCAUCCACACCUGCAACACACUCUGGAGACCACCCCAGAUGAUGUCCUGCUGACCAGGGUCUUUUUUGUGGCAGCCCAUCCAGGUCCAGCAGCAUCACCAGGGUCUAAAUGUUGUAAAUAUGUUGUAAAUACUAAUAGCUAUAAAGACCACAGAAAAUAAAAUCAUUUAUUUAACAAA